rnacentral:rRNA from 1 species
UACGGAGGGGGCUAGCGUUGUUCGGAAUUACUGGGCGUAAAGCGUGCGCAGGCGGUUGUGCAAGACAGAUGUGAAAUCCCCGGGCUUAACCUGGGAAUUGCAUUUGUGACUGCACGGCUAGAGUGUGUCAGAGGGGGGGUAGAAUUCCACGUGUAGCAGUGAAAUGCGUAGAUAUGUGGAGGAAUACCGGUGGCGAAGGCGGCAUCCUGGACCGGCAUUGACGCUGAGUGAGCGAAAGCCAGGGGGAGCAAACGGGG